rnacentral:snoRNA from 1 species
AUGCCUACCAGUUCCUUUCCUCACUGUGGCCCUGGGUGCAAUGGCUGCACCCAGCAGCUUCUUUGGUAGUGUAGUAACCUGUUGUUUGUAUAGCUUGCUUGAGAACUGGGUGCAUUU